UCUUUUCUUUUUUUUAUUUAAAAAUUAAAUGAUUUAUUCGUUUAGUUAGUCUACUAACCGAGGGGUUUAAUACCCAGAUUUAACUAUUAAAGCAUUUGUUCAUUAAGCUUUUCCCUAAAUCUAUCUCAUCUACAACUGAUUCAAACUCGUAAAUAUCAUUCUUUGGGAUUGAUUACAAGAUACUAAAAUCUUUAAGUUUUCUUAAUUAGUUAAGAAAUUUUUCAAGGUUGUGUGUUUUUAUUCUUCCAUACACGCAUUGGAGAAACUAAUUUUACCAACAUUGAACAAAACAUUGUUGUGUUCUUG
rnacentral:lncRNA from 1 species